GGGGGUGUAGCUCAGUGGUAGAGCAUAUGCUUAACAUGCACAAGGCCCUAGGUUUGACCCCCAGUAUCACGA
rnacentral:tRNA from 1 species